rnacentral:rRNA from 1 species
AGGACGAACGCUGGCGGCGUGCUUAACACAUGCAAGUCGAGCGGAAAGGCCUUUCGGGGUACUCGAGCGGCGAACGGGUGAGUAACACGUGAGUAAUCUGCCCAUCGCUUCAGGAUAGCCAUCGGAAACGGUGAUUAAUACUGGAUAUGACAUUCCUUCGCAUGUUGGGGUGUGGAAAGUUUUUUCGGCGGUGGAUGUGCUCGCGGCCUAUCAGCUUGUUGGUGGGGUAAUGGCCUACCAAGGCUUUGACGGGUAGCCGGCCUGAGAGGGUGACCGGCCACACUGGGACUGAGACACGGCCCAGACUCCUACGGGAGGCAGCAGUGGGGAAUAUUGGACAAUGGGCGGAAGCCUGAUCCAGCAACGCCGCGUGAGGAUGACGGCCUUCGGGUUGUAAACCGUCUUUCAGCACAGACGAAGUUUUGCUUUUUUGGUGUAAGUGACGGUAUGUGCAGAAGAAGGACCGGCCAACUACGUGCCAGCAGCCGCGGUAA